rnacentral:rRNA from 1 species
AUUGAACGCUGGCGGCAGGCCUAACACAUGCAAGUCGAACGAGUGGCGGACGGGUGAGUAAUGUCUGGGAAACUGCCUGAUGGAGGGGGAUAACUACUGGAAACGGUAGCUAAUACCGCAUACCAUCGGAUGUGCCCAGGUGGGAUUAGCUAGUAGGUGGGGUAAAGGCACACCUAGGCGACGCUCCCUAGCUGGUCUGGGAGGAUGACACGCCACACUGGAACUGGGACACAGUCCAGAACCCUUCGGGGGGGAGCAGUGGGGAAUAUUGCACAAUGGGCGCAAGCCUGAUGCAGCCAUGCCGCGGGUAUGGAGAAGGUCUUCGGGUUGGAAAGUACUUUCAGCGGGGAGGCGUUACCCGCAGAAGAAGCACCGGCUAACUCCGUGCCAGCAGCCGCGGUAAUAC